CCUACGGGUGGCUGCAAUUAGGAAUCUUGCACAAUGGGGGGAACCCUGAUGCAGCGACGCCGCGUGAAGGAUGAAGGGUCUCGGCCUGUAAACUUCUUUUGAUGGGGAAGAAUAAUGACGGUACCCAUCGAAUAAGCCCCGGCUAACUACGUGCCAGCAGCCGCGGUAAUACGUAGGGGGCGAGCGUUGUCCGAAUUUACUGGGCGUAAAGCGCGCGUAGGCGGUUUCUUAAGUCUGGGGUGAAAGGUUCAGCGCUCAACGUGAACAGUGCCUUG
rnacentral:rRNA from 1 species